rnacentral:rRNA from 1 species
AGGGGGACUCCGAGUGUGAGGGCAUAUAGCCCUCGCUUUUCUGUACCGUAAGGUGGUACAGGAACAAGGACUGGGCAAGACCGGUGCCAGCCGCCGCGGUAAUACCGGCAGUCCAAGUGAUGGCCGAUAUUAUUGGGCCUAAAGCGUCCGUAGCUUGCUGUGUAAGUCCAUUGGGAAAUCGACCAGCUCAACUGGUCGGCGUCCGGUGGAAACUACACAGCUUGGGGCCGAGAGACUCAACGGGUACGUCCGGGGUAGGAGUGAAAUCCUGUAAUCCUGGACGGACCACCAAUGGGGAAACCACGUUGAGAGACCGGACCCGACAGUGAGGGACGAAAGCCAGGGUCUCGAACCGGAUUAGAUACCCGGGUAGUCCUGGCUGUAAACAAUGCUCGCUAGGUAUGUCACGCGCCAUGAGCACGUGAUGUGCCGUAGUGAAGACGAUAAGCGAGCCGCCUGGGAAGUACGUCCGCAAGGAUGAAACUUAAAGGAAUUGGCGGGGGAGCACCACAACCGGAGGAGCCUGCGGUUUAAUUGGACUCAACGCCGGACAUCUCACCGGUCCCGACAGUAGUAAUGACAGUCAGGUUGACGACUUUACUCGACGCUACUGAGAGGAGGUGCAUGGCCGCCGUCAGCUCGUACCGUGAGGCGUCCUGUUAAGUCAGGCAACGAGCGAGACCCACACUUCUAGUUGCCAGCAAUACCCUUGUGGUAGUUGGGUACACUAGGAGGACUGCCAUUGCUAAAAUGGAGGAAGGAAUGGGCAACGGUAGGUCAGUAUGCCCCGAAUGGACCGGGCAACACGCGGGCUACAAUGGCUCUGACAGUGGGAUGCAACGCCGAGAGGCGAAGCUAAUCUCCAAACGGAGUCGUAGUUCGGAUUGCGGGCUGAAACCCGCCCGCAUGAAGCUGGAUUCGGUAGU